GGAGGAGGUUUUUUUCUUUCGGGGAAUCGGGGGGGAGCUAGUUUUUUAAGCUUUUGCAAGGUUAUCAGUUCGGUUUCAUUGGAGGUUUUUGAAGAUCAAGGGAAUUAGAGAGAGGAGCUUCAUGCUUCGGGUCGGGGAAAGAAAGACAUAGAAUUUGGAUUUUUCUUCGUAGAGUUUUGGGAAGACUGAGGCAAUCGCUGCUGAAGUCAGUGUUGUAAUAGUGA
rnacentral:lncRNA from 1 species